ensembl:lncRNA
GAGAAAAGCAAUAGCCGGGGGAGGAGAAGGGUCUUCGUGCGAAUGUUACACCCCCGUGACGGGGUACAUGCAUCGGCUGUUACUGUUCUUCAGCACGGGCUGUAAAUUCACAGGGUUUUUUUUGAGGGGGGGGGGGGCAGCAAACUGGAGACUCGUAAUCACGUAGACCAGCGGAGUAGAAAACAGAGGCUACGGCGACCGCCACAAUCGCAUAAACAACAACAACAACACAGCACACUCAAAAAAGCAAGAGAGGAAAACACUGUCCUAACCUCGAAAAGAAGACGCGAACGAAUAGAGACACUACCCCUCUUCGAAUCAACGUGUAGUUAUGCUUUGUCGUUUUGUUGUUGUGUCGUAACGGUGGAACUGACUGAUAUCUUAUUUUGUAUUAGCUUGCGCCUCUCUUCUUCUUCUUCCUCUAGUAAUAUUUUCAGCAUGGACUAAUCCAGCUAUCUAAGUGUUGGAGCGAUUAUGUCGAAAAGAAAACAGACUGUGUUUUAGCCUCUUAGCUGAAGCUCCUCUUCUCUGGCCGCCGACUUAGGCUCUUCCCCGUACACUGUAUAUAUAUAUGUAUAACCGUGAUGGCUAGGGAGGCUCUCUCUGUGUUCUUUUCCUUGUUUCUUUCUUUCUUUUUUAUAUUUCAAUCAGGUGUUUGCACAAUAUAUGGUCCUAGACCAUGGUUUAAAUCAGGAAAGUAUUUGUUUUUAGAUAUUUAAAAACUAACCAACGACUUUGUUCCAUUGCGUUCGAUUCUCCCUUUCCACAUCCCGUAAGGAAAGCCCUUGUUUUUUCAUCUCCUUAAGACUUUUAACCGAAGUGUUGAUGGAAAGCGCCACUUUAAGCGCUGGUCUGGAGUCAGAGUAAGCUUUUAUUUCGAUUCAGGAUUACGCAAGGGAAAGCUGACCCGAGACCAGCGCUGGGGCGGCAUUUCUCAGGAUCUCCUCUUUCUUACUCUGCCUCUUCUUUCAUUGGUGCAAUAGGACGUGGGUGGGAAUUUCUUUUUGAAGUAGACGAGUGACCUGUUAGUGCCAUAGAUUUUCACUGUACAAGCUGUAAUAAAAAUAUAUAUAUAUUGAAAGGAGAGUGGGGGGAAAAAUCAAUGAGUAUCGAGAGAGAAAUCCAAACUGAACAAACUAAAAAUGUAACCUAGCACUUUCUUGCGUCUGGUUUUGCUGAAAGAGAAGGAGUGAUGAGUAUAAAAAUGCUACUCAGUCUUCACUUGAAUGUGUGACUAUAUAAAUGUAAAAAUAUACCUAUAUAUUUCUAUAUGUCCAUGAUAUACAGAUGUCUGUGUGUGUGCGAGCGUAUGUGCUUAAACAUUACAUGCACCCUGACAAAUCAAACUUACUCCCGAGCAAAUGCUGUUUGUAUUUUCCCUCCUGAAAAUGCAGUGGCACUACAUUAAAAGACUGUUAGCAUAUGCCUGAAAACCGGUGGCUACUGACGAAAAUAUAACCAUUCAGCUCGAAUCUGAACUUGAUUUAUCUGCCCUUUCUUUCCCUUCCCCCAGCAACAGACAAAUGCUUGCACACACACACACAUACCUGCACAUGUAUGCGUGUACACCUUAUGAUUGUGUAUCCAAUAAACUGUCUUUACUUUGGAGAAGGAGUUUUAGAAAGAGAAAGGUGAGUGUAAACUCAUCAGCAGGCAUGUUGACCAUGUGCAAUAUUUCUAAACAAGAGAUUAUUGAAAAAAUUAAAGACCUAACACAAUGCUUGUUUUUGUGUAGUUCUUUGCACUUGUAUGAUUAAGGUAUGUUAUAGAUGAUUGGAUGGAUGGAUGGACAGAGAUAGAUAUACAUACAGAAUAAAGC